GUGCUGGCUUUGGCAACACACUAGUAAAAUUGGGCCAAUACAGAGAAGAUCAGCAUAGCCCCUGUGCAAGGCAUCUAAUCUGUAAGUGUUCCACAAAGAUAUU
ensembl:snRNA U6 U6 spliceosomal RNA